CUGCGGCACAGGCACAUUGACAUCUACCGGAAGCGGCGGCGCCUGUCCGUGCUGCAUUUGCCACUGCGAAGGUUGACUAUUCUGCGGCACCAUUGGCUGAUACUGCGUGCCUUGAUUAUUCUGGCCAUCCAGAAGGAUGCCCACGCGCUCUUCUUCAGACAUCUGCAGUACCUCAAACCAGUGCAGAAAACUGUGUACGAUGCAACUGUGUCAUCUCUACGGAAAAUACGGGCGUUCAUUUCGCGACGUAAUUCAGCAGGCGUCACUGCUGAAUUAAAAUGUUUCAACAAUUUGGGGCGGAAGAAGGGAAGCACGGGAACACACGGACAAAGCGGGACUUCCACCACGAGGUGAGACUGCACCAUGAUCAACCGCAGCUGGAUGAACAUUACCAUUAUUGUCAACAUGUU